rnacentral:rRNA from 1 species
GUACAUAAAAAUUUGAGGGAAUGAUCUUGCUUGAAUAGUCGUACUCAUAACCGCAGCAGGUCUCCAAGGUUAGAAGCCUCUAGUUGGCAGAAUAAUGUAGGUAAGGGAAGUCGGCAAAAUAGAUCUGUAACUUCGGGAAAAAGAUUGGCUCUAAAGGCUGAGUAUAUGGGCUAUGCUUUGAAGUUAUUAGAGAUUAGAUUGUUACGAUUGGCUGUCAUGGUUGGUUGUGAUGGUUUAGUUGAAGGUGAUGGAGGGGUGUAGGCAGCCUUCACGGGUUGUGCUGUAUACAAUUAACAGCUAAUUUAGAACUGUUACUGACCAGGGGAAUCCGACUGUUUAAUUAAAACAAAGCAUUGUGAUGUUCUCAAUAAGGAUUUUAACACAAUGUGAUUUCUGCCCAGUGCUCUGAAUGUCAAAAGUGAAGAAAUUCAAACAAGCGCGGGUAAAACGGCGGGAGUAACUAUGACUCUCUUAAGGUAGCCAAAUGCCUCGUCAUCUAAAUUAGUGACGCGCAUGAAU